rnacentral:rRNA from 1 species
UACGGAGGGUGCAAGCGUUGUUCGGAAUCAUUGGGCGUAAAGCGCGUGUAGGCGGCUAGGCAAGUCGGUUGUGAAAGCCCGGGGCCCAACCCCGGAAUUGCAUCUGAAACUGCCUGGCUAGAGUCCCGGAGAGGAAGGCAGAAUUCCCGGUGUAGGGGUGAAAUCCGUAGAUAUCGGGAGGAAUACCAGCGGCGAAGGCGGCCUUCUGGACGGUGACUGACGCUGAGACGCGAAAGCGUGGGGAGCAAACAGG